rnacentral:rRNA from 1 species
UGGGGAAUCUUGGACAAUGGGGGCAACCCUGAUCCAGCCAUGCCGCGUGAGUGAUGAAGGCCUUAGGGUCGUAAAGCUCUUUCGCCUGUGAAGAUAAUGACGGUAGCAGGUAAAGAAACCCCGGCUAACUCCGUGCCAGCAGCCGCGGUAAUACGGAGGGGGUUAGCGUUGUUCGGAAUUACUGGGCGUAAAGCGCACGUAGGCGGACCAGAAAGUUGGGGGUGAAAUCCCGGGGGCUCAACCCCGGAACUGCCUCCAAAACUAUUGGUCUAGAGUUCGAGAGAGGUGAGUGGAAUUCCAAGUGUAGAGGUGAAAUUCGUAGAUAUUUGGAGGAACACCAGUGGCGAAGGCGGCUCACUGGCUCGAUACUGACGCUGAGGUGCGAAAAGUGUGGGGAGCAAAACAGGAUUAGAUACCCCUGGUAGUCCACACCGUAAAACGAUGGAAUGCCCAGUCGUCGGGGUAGCAUGCUAUUCGGUGACACACCUAA